AAUUAUCAGUCAGUUAGUAGGUGGUCUGGCGGAGAGGGGGUAGUUCCAUAGUCUCAAGAGGAGUGGGUUCGAUACUCGUAGAUAGCAUUUUUAGUAUAUUUUUUUUUCUAGUAUUUCAUUUCUUUUUAGCAUUUCAUUUUUCUAGUAUUUCAUUGUCUUUUAGUAUUUUGUUUCUUGUAAUAUUUUUUUUUAUGUCCAUGCUUCUUUAUUAAUUGCAUCAUGCAUUCGACACCAUUUUAAAACUAAAAAAUCAUACUUUUCUCGAUUUAAUAUCGAGCCCCUUUUUCACACCCUUGUAAGUCGAUUGCUUUUUAAGCAUCGCCGUCGACCUCACAUAGCUUACUCUUGGGCUUUCUUACAAUGAGUCGGUUCUCUUGCACUGACACUCAUGCAUUAUUUGUUGGUUCCGAUUUAAUUAUUUCGUGAUUUUUUUAACCCCCAUUUGACAAAUGUACCCCACUCCCCAAUGUGUAAUAAUUUUGUACUUUUUAUUUCUUUUAUUGUUUGGUUGUUUAAUUAGCUACUAACACAAGAAUAAAAUCAACAAAUUUUAAAAAUACAAAAAAUAUGACUCGAUCCAACGUCGAGUACUUUCUCAAUAAACGAACCAAC
rnacentral:lncRNA from 1 species